UACGGAGGAUGCAAGCGUUAUCCGGAAUGAUUGGGCGUAAAGCGUCCGCAGGUGGCAAUGUAAGUCUGCUGUCAAAGCGUCUGGCUCAACCAGAUAAAGGCAGUGGAAACUACAUAGCUAGAGUAAGGUAGGGGUAGAGGGAAUUCCUGGUGUAGCGGUGAAAUGCGUAGAGAUCAGGAAGAACACCGAUGGCGAAGGCACUUUACUGGGCUAUUACUAACACUCAGAGACGAAAGCUAGGGUAGCAAAUGGG
rnacentral:rRNA from 1 species